rnacentral:misc_RNA from 1 species
AACGGUCUAUACCUGCGGUACCUGCGGAAGGAUCAUUACAGAGUUGAAAAACUCCCAAACCCUUGUGAACAUACCUAACGUUGCUUCGGCGGUGCGGCCCUAGGCCGCUGCCUCCCUGUGAGGCGCCCGCCGGAGGUUUACAAACUCUAUGUAUUAUAUUGUCUUCUCUGAGUUGUCUUUUAAAUAAGUCAAAACUUUCAACAACGGAUCUCU